rnacentral:rRNA from 1 species
GAUGAACGCUGGCGGCGUGCCUAAUACAUGCAAGUAGAACGCUGAAGGAAGGAGCUUGCUCUUUCCGGAUGAGUUGCGAACGGGUGAGUAACGCGUAGGUAACCUGCCCGGUAGCGGGGGAUAACUAUUGGAAACGAUAGCUAAUACCGCAUAACAGUAGAUGUUGCAUGAUAUCUACUUAAAAGGUGCAAUUGCACCACUACCAGAUGGACCUGCGUUGUAUUAGCUAGUUGGUGAGGUAACGGCUCACCAAGGCGACGAUACAUAGCCGACCUAAGAGGGUGAUCGGCCACACUGGGACUGAGACACGGCCCAGACUCCUACGGGAGGCAGCAGUAGGGAAUCUUCGGCAAUGGACGGAAGUCUGACCGAGCAACGCCGCGUGAGUGAAGAAGGUUUUCGGAUCGUAAAGCUCUGUUGUAAGAGAAGAACGAGUGUGAGAGUGGAAAGUUCACACUGUGACGGUAUCUUACCAGAAAGGGACGGCUAACUACGUG